CGGAGGGAGCUAGCGUUGUUCGGAAUUACUGGGCGUAAAGCGUACGUAGGCGGUUAUUCAAGUCAGAGGUGAAAGCCCGGGGCUCAACCCCGGAACUGCCUUUGAAACUAGAUAGCUAGAAUCUUGGAGAGGUCAGUGGAAUUCCGAGUGUAGAGGUGAAAUUAGUAGAUAUUCGGAAGAACACCAGUGGCGAAGGCGACUGACUGGACAAGCAUUGACGCUGAGGUACGAAAGCGUGGGGAGCAAACAGGAUU
rnacentral:rRNA from 1 species